AUUGAACGCUGGCGGCAUGCCUUACACAUGCAAGUCGAACGGCAGCGCGGACUUCGGUCUGGCGGCGAGUGGCGAACGGGUGAGUAAUACAUCGGAACGUACCCUGUUGUGGGGAUAACUAGUCGAAAGAUUAGCUAAUACCGCAUACGACCUGAGGGUGAAAGUGGAGGACCGCAAGGCCUCACGCAGCAGGAGCGGCCGAUGUCUGAUUAGCUAGUUGGUGGGGUAAAGGCCCACCAAGGCGACGAUCAGUAGCUGGUCUGAGAGGACGAUCAGCCACACUGGGACUGAGACACGGCCCAGACUCCUACGGGAGGCAGCAGUGGGGAAUUUUGGACAAUGGGGGCAACCCUGAUCCAGCAAUGCCGCGUGUGUGAAGAAGGCCUUCGGGUUGUAAAGCACUUUUGUCCGGAAAGAAAUGGCUCUGGUUAAUACCUGGGGUCGAUGACGGUACCGGAAGAAUAAGGACCGGCUAACUACGUGCCAGCAGCCGCUGUAA
rnacentral:rRNA from 1 species